CUACAGGCUUAACACAUGCAAGUCGAGGGGUAGCAGGGUAGCAAUACCGCUGACGACCGGCGCACGGGUGAGUAACACGUAUCCAACCUUCCCAUAACUCGGGGAUAGCCUUUCGAAAGAAAGAUUAAUACCCGAUAGUACUUUAUUAAGGCAUCUUAAGAAAGUUAAAGAUUUAUUGGUUAUGGAUGGGGAUGCGUUCCAUUAGAUAGUUGGUGAGGUAACGGCUCACCAAGUCUUCGAUGGAUAGGGGUUCUGAGAGGAAGGUCCCCCACAUUGGUACUGAGACACGGACCAAACUCCUACGGGAGGCAGCAGUGAGGAAUAUUGGUCAAUGGGCGAGAGCCUGAACCAGCCAAGUAGCGUGAAGGAUGACGG
rnacentral:rRNA from 1 species